AUUGAACGCUGGCGGCAGGCCUAACACAUGCAAGUCGAGCGAGCGGCGGACGGGUGAGUAAUGUCUGGGAAACUGCCUGAUGGCGGGGGAUAACUACUGGAAACGGUAGCUAAUACCGCAUACCAUCAAAUGUGCACAAAUGGGAUUAGCUAGUAGGUGGGGUAAUGGCUCACCUAGGCGACGAUCCCUAGCUGGUCUGAGAGGAUGACCAGCCACACUGGAACUGAGACACGUUCCAGAGUCCUACGGGAGGCAGCAGUGGGGAAUAUUGCACAAUGGGCGCAAGCUUGAUGCAGCCAUGCGGCGUGUGUGAAGAGGGCUUUCGGGUUGUAAAGCACUUUCAGCGAGGAGGCGUUACUCGCAGAAGAAGCACCGGCUAACUCCGUGCCAGCAGCCGCGGUAAUUC
rnacentral:rRNA from 1 species